CAGAGGGUGCGAGCGUUAAUCGGAAUUACUGGGCGUAAAGCGUGCGUAGACGGUUAUUUAAGUCGGGUGUGAAAGCCCCGGGCUCAACCUGGGAAUUGCAUUCGAGACUGAAUAGCUAGGGUACGGUAGAGGGAAGCGGAAUUUCCGGUGUAGCGGUGAAAUGCGUAGAUAUCGGAAGGAACAUCAGUGGCGAAAGCGGCUUCCUGGACCAGUACCGACGUUCAGGCACGAAAGCGUGGGGAGCAAACAGGAUUAGAUACCCUGGUAGUCCACGCCAUAAACGAUGAGGACUAGACGUUGGAGGGGUAAGCCUUUCAGUGUCGUAGCUAACGCGCUAAGUCCUCCGCCUGGGGAGUACGGCCGCAAGGUUA
rnacentral:rRNA from 1 species